UUCCCUCUCUCCCACAAGCACAACCCUUGUUCAUACAUCCAUAUACACUUCUCCCAAAAUCCUGUGCUUAACACAUCUUUACUGAGCACACAGGCGUGCUGGGGCAAACGACGCCUGGGAAUAUGAAGCGAAUGCCACACACCAGAACGCACCCUGGGAGCUGGCCUCCGGUGGGGGAUGCAGGCGUUGAAGACAUAACCACAUGACCGAACUAUCUGCCACCAACUUGUACUAACUUCCAUCUCUCACCCGGGACCAUGCAGCCAGCAGCUCCUCCUGCAAGGGAUCAUGGCUUAGCACCAUCCACCCCAAUGUCUCAGAGCUGCCUCAUUCUGCAGGAGGAGGCCCUUGCAGGGAUGGUGGUGGCAACUGCACAGCAAUGAACAAAACCGCUUUUUAAAUGUCACUAGUAAUUCCCAGGAUCAUGCACAGCUCUAGAAAGCACCGCAGUAACUAUUCCUUGUGAACACCUUGGCACACGAGACACGAAGUGACCCUAUGUGGCUUUCACCCAGGGGGAAUCAUGUCUGGGGCUAAAUACAAGGACAAAGGAGAGAGAAGCCUGGGGGAUGUCGGCUGGGGCGGUAGCAGUCAGAGAGUGAAGGGCUUGAAGGUCAUAUCAAGGAGUCUGAAUUUUGUUGUGUGCAGCACAGAGGGGUGUGGGAGAUGGUUAAGUGGAGAACUAAGAGAACAAUAAGAGACAGUGUACCAGA